CCACAAAGCAAUGAAGCUUUUUCCAGAACCUCGGGAUCCCUGGAGAGAGCAUUUCCCUUGGCUUCAGCUGCAGCCCCUCUUUCUAGAUAGAGUGACCUCCAUCGCAGGGGUCCCCCAGGGGGACAGACGCCUUCGUGUCCCCUCUGCCCAAGGGCCCACGCUCAGAGCACUGCUUCCCACACUGUCCCUCUGCAGAUCAACCGAGGCAUUGACCUCAACAGAGAGUGGAUUCUAAUUUAGUCUUGGCUGGGACCCCUUUCCCGCAAAAAGAUAUCUGACCUGAUGUCUUGCUAAGUCUCUACCCUCCUCGGCUUACAUCACGGAACCUGUCUCUUUUACUUCAUGGAAUUCAAGAACACUUUCUUCCUUCUGGGUCUAGAUCUGAAGCCAGUCACGAAGGGAAGGCACUAAUUUCUCUAAUUGAAAAAUCCUCUCCUCCACAUCAUAAUGGACCCGGACAACAGGAUCAGAUCAUUUGAAAGACAAAUACUCUCCAAGUCACUGCUGCCCUGGCUGCAAGGUGAAUCCUGUUUAAAUUCAUGGUCCUGAGAUCCUCACCUUGAGCCCACAUGUUCCCUGCCGCUGGGGUUCAGCAAAUGGCAGCGCUUUCAUCAAGGAGAGUACAGCGUGCUGUGACAAUCAGGGACUCGGGACCGAGAGGCCUGUAACCGAUUGCUGUCCCGCCUCUACCUGUGUGGCUUGGGCAAGUUGCUUCACCUCCCAGGGCGUCUUUAUUUAUGAAAGAGAAUAAAUGUAUCCUGAUUAUAGUGUCGUUGCAAGGAGUAAGCAGGAGGAUGUAGCCUAAGCACUUAACACAGUGUUUGGCAAGAACUGUUCAAUAAAAUAAAGAAUUACUAUCGUUAUUAC